rnacentral:lncRNA from 1 species
UGUUGAUCACGAAAAUCAAUCCAAAGCUUUUAGAAAACGCACACAACACACAGCAGCUACGCAGGGGAAAAUGUUGCACCAGAUGCUGCAGCAUUUGGUCGCACAUCUUGACAGAUAAAACAUCUUAGCUAAAAUGUAGACAGUUAAGAAAAUAUGAACAACAUCAAGAAUGUCCUGAGAUAGACGCUUGAACAUUUCUCUUUCCAUUUGAGUAUGGUGCUCUUUUCUCUUAACAUUGCUUCAGUUGGUCAGCCUUGAGAUAGACGCUUGAACGUACACGUUGAGUGCAGUCUUCUUAGACGAUCUAAUAGCUUCACUUGAUCUUGCAUUUGUUGACUUGAAGCUUUGUCUUCUUCCAAGACAGUCUUGACGAUUCGACUCUACUUGUGUAGAUUGUCUUGCCCCUUGGUCAUUCUUCUCUUGUUGACUUUAGACGAUUUUGCUGAUAUAACUUUCCUUGCUUGUAUCGUCUCACCCUUUGACUCUUCUUGCCUAGAUGAUCUUGAUGCUUUGACUUUCUUUGCGCGGACCAUCUUGAGUCUUGAUUUUUACUUCCUUUGAAAAGACAGGCUAGCAGACUUGAUACUUUCUUGCUAGUGUAGUUGCAUUGUUGCUUUGAAUAUCCUUUUCAUUUUUUCAGUUAGACGAUCUGGCAGGAAUGACAUUAGUUUGCUUGUACCGUCUGCCUUGUAGCUUUGACUUUUCUUUCUUCUAGUUGUCCAGCUUAUCUUGCAGCUUUGACCAGUCUCUUCUUUGUAGAUGUUGUCUUCAUGUCAUCGUCUUGCACUGCUUCUUUAGACGUUAGAGCGUGAGGGGUAUAAGUGUGAUUUUCUGAAAUACAUUUCAUGUGAUAUAUGUAAUCAGUUCACUUAUACUUUUGAAAAUUGUUAUAAUUCAAAAUAUGAUAAACGAUACAUAUAGCAUUUGAACUUAACAAACCAUAACUCGUUGGAGGCACGAAACCAUUCAAUUGUGUGUGAUGGCGAACGCACCGGAAACAACGUCAGUGGAGUGUGCAGGAAAGAAGAAUUGGAGAUCUGACGCCACUAUGAAUUCUCGAAAAAUGAAGCUCUUGAUACCAUAAUAGAAGUGAAAGAAAAACAUAAAAUCUAACUGAGAACAAAAUAAAUUAUUGAUAGUUAGACAGGUACAAUAUGAUUACAUUUAUAAUAGCUGUAGUAUUCUAACAAUAACCUAUCCACUAAUAGCUAGGUAAAUAACUAAAAGAGGGUGUAUGUUCUAUUAGAAAAAAAGUAAAAAUGUAAGGAACGAGAAGAAGUU